CCGCGGCCAGCGGCAGCGCCACGUCCAUUUAAAGCCCUGGCUCUUUUAAAAGCGUGUCAAAAUACGCACCCGCGCGUUGGAGGACUCACCACUGGGGCAAGUAAAAGGAUCCCAAAACUGCAAGACAUCUGGAGGAGUGCCCAGACAAGAACUGGAUUGAGGGGGUAUGGUGAGAAGAAAUGGAAAUAAUACUGUAAAAAUGGAUUGAAGAAAUGGAGAAGCAAUAUUUGAGGAAAGGCGAAGUUGGAAACCUGGUGUGCUGCCCUGUGACACAUCCAGUCUGCUUCUGACCAUCUAAGAACAUGUCUUACUCACUGCUGUGACUGCUUGUUCAGACUCUGUGAGGUUAUGGUGAGAGAGUCUUCCCCAAAAUAUGGUCCUGGCUGGUGAGAUCUUGUUUCAUAAAUGGUGGAAAGAGGGCAGGAAUUCUUACAGACAAGCGUGCUGUUCCAGUUUUAUGAUAUUUUAAUUUUACGUGCAAAAAGACCCCAUAGUCUCAAGUCUGUCUGGAUAUCUCUAAGUCACGGGAAAUGACUGUAGCAAAUUUCACUCGUUCUUCAAAGAGAGAGUAUAUUCUCAGUCAUGCUGCCUCACCCUGCCAGUGCGCACACACUACAGCAUUGCCACAGGUAGGUGGUGGGGAAGGCAAAGGCCUUCCAAAGGUGUGUUGGUUAGUCCAGGUGAGCUAUGUACUAACGUGGCCAGGCCUUUCAAAGCAAGGGCUAGGACCUCUACCUGUUGCUGGGGACACCCUGAGCUGCUCUGAACUAGCUCUGGUGUCUGGGAUAAAGAAUAAAUUGCCACACUUGUUGAUAAGUGGUUUUAGCAGUGUCACUUUCUCAGUAACUUGGGAAAAAAUAUCUGAUGUAAGCCAGCAUGGAAAUGACACAACCAUAGCUGAGUGUUCAGACUACAAAAAAAAUUAAAAUAAGAGCUGUAUGUCCUGAAAAGAUAAAAUUGUUUGUGAAUUUUGGAACAUAAGGAGAUAAAACUUACUGGAAGAGUUGAAGAGUGACCAUAAUAUGGUGGUAAUACUACAGUUUAUUCUGCAGCUGCCACAAAAACACACAUUUAAAAAGAGGAUGUUUCCAGAAAUUUGCAUAUAGAAGCCAUGAUAUUUUAUUUUUAAUAAAAUACAUUAUUAACCUUUCUAUUUCCAUCUUGGCUUGCUCAGACAAACUUCCCCGAGUAUCUGAGAGAGCUCUACUCUGUAGAACCCACUUAGUAAUGCAUGUUGCAAACUUACCAUUCCAUUAUCAGUGUAAUAGUUGUUUUUUUUCCUAGAAAAACCUGGAUUUAUCUGGUGGAAAAAUAUGCAUGUGGGAGUUUAUCAAUGAUAAGGUCAGAAGAGGUUGUCACUCGUGCAGGUUUCGUCCUCUGCCCUCAUUGUCAUCAUCCCCCCUUACUGUGGUGGCUGAUGCAUCCAACACUUCAGCCAGUGUUCAUUUUAACUGCAAUUCCAAGGGGAUGAGCAAGAGCUACUUCUGCAAGCUUUCAGUAAAGUUCUGUAUUUGUGGAAAGCAAAGUGCUUUCUGUGACUGCUGUUGUACAUUUUCCCCACCACUUGCAAGCACAGAUUUUCCAUUAAAAGCUGAAGAGAGAGGAAGAAGGAGGAAUUCUGAAAUAAAUCCCACAUUUAGGUAUGGCCAAAUAAAUGUUAUGGGCUUUGAAUAUCUGGACAUCAAGAAGUUGCCUCUUCCUCAUCCAGGAGAGGUGCCUGUCAAGUAAGCCAAACUUCUGGGAUCUGUCCAACUUUUGGGAAGGAUGGAUGGAGGCAGGGCUAUGGGCAGAGGUAAAUAGUGUGUUCUGGCUUCCCUUGGGUGGUUGGGACCCUUCAGCUGUGCCUGCCAGCACAUAGGAACUUCAUGCAGUUUUCCCCAUUUUCCGCUGCUACUCUGGCCACCAUCAGGUGGUCUCAGCAUUCAGUGAAAGAAUCAAGUGUCUGCCUGGUACCAUGGAUAUCUGAGUGUUUUAAGAUGAAACAUACUGCUAAUCAGAACUAAAGAUAAGCCCUUUCCCCAGCCAUUUCUGGGCUGGCUUUUCAUGGAAACAGGUAAUCUAUCACUAGUGUUCACUAGGAGCUAUAAAACGGUGUGUGUUGUGAUGGUACUGAGACGGUCAGUGGGAAGGUGGCACUUGUAAGCUGCUGCAUCCUAUAAUGUCACUCACCACUCAGAAGGAAGCUGUUACUAGAAAGCCUCAGCAGACAUUAUUGCAUUAUCCAGCAGAAGAGGUGCCAUUAGUUAUUUUGGCUGGAGGGAAACGCCAUUAUGCUUCAGGACUCCUUUCCAGUCCCAUGUAUGUUAAAAAUUCAUGAUCAUUAUUUAGUUUAUCUUGAACUAAGCAUUACAAGGCACAGCGAAGCUAAGACAUUCUCAGGACCACAUGACAAAUCAUUGAUAGACCAAGGAAAAACAAUGGAAGGAAUCCAGGCCCACAGCCCGGCAAAGAUUCACCUUCUUUCCUUUCCAAACCUUACCCACUGAAACCACCCCACCAAAGAGAAAUGUCACAUAUUGCCCUGUUGAAGUCUGUCUGGAGGUCUCAUAGGCAGAACCUCAAAGUUGUGAAACUCCAGUUGUUCUCAGUGCCUGAAGAACUCCUUCCUUGACCCCAUCUCCUGCUGCUUACCAAGGAAACCCCAGGCACAGACACACAAGAAGUGGCUUUCACCAGUUGGAUCUCAAUACAGGUUGAUUUUACAGAGAAGGAAGAACCUCCAGCAAAUUUAAGUUUUGGCAGAGGAGCUCCAGUGGAACUUCCCUUUAGCAGCAGAUAAGGAAGCAGGACUACACAUGCUCACUGCUUUCUCUUCAAAUGAAAAGCCUUGUUCUGACCAUAAGUUCUGUGUGCUGGAUAAUAACAUAGUUUUGUAUUGACUGGCAUGUAGAGGUUGUGUGCUCACUACAUUUUCAGUUUAACAUAUCUUCCUCUGUCUCUGUCUGCAAGGGGAGCUAUUUCCCCCUCAGAAAAUAGCAAUCCAAAUGCAGGUUAUUUUUGCCAAACACUUCAGUAACAACAGCUCCUUUAAUUAACAGAGGAAAUGGUCCUAUAGGUCUCUAUAGGACCCCAUUUGGCUGUGGAAUUUAUUUCAUGUUCAGUGUGCUGGAGUAAAGGAACUUUAUUCAGAGUGUUUGUAUUUUAAAGCUUUUUUUCUCUGCUCUCAGGCACUGAAAAUGUGUUAUCUCUGUUUUCAGUGUGACAGACUGGUACUUAAUGUACCUCACAAGACACAAGACUGAAAAUCCUUUUGUAAAUAAAAUUAAUUCAGACUGGAUGCAACCAUUAUGCAGGAAUGAUUCAGAUAUUUGAUUUUUCCUACAAGGGAAAUUAUGUCUCAUGGACUAUAAAAAAUGGAAGAAAGUUAGUGGUGCUGUCUCUCACAGUCCUGAAAAGACUUUCCUCUAAUACAACACAAUUCAGGGAAGAUAUUGAAGUGAUUCUGCUCCAAGUGUAGAAGUAAGAGACCUUUGUGUAAUUUACUGAAUGGGAAAAUAUUUACUAUUACACAUUUUGCACCUUCAUGCUAGGAAGAGAAGAUGCAUUAUUUUGAUCAUUUCAGUGUAAAGUUUUGAGGAUUUGAAUAUGCUUGAAACGGAAGUAUCUAUAUUUCACUUUGUCACUGCUUUUUAUUCUGUGUAAGCAAAUAAUUGUCAGUUUACAAAUAUUGAAGAGACAAUCUAAGCCCAGGAUACUGACUAUUGAAGAGGUAGGCUUUCCUUACAGGUUACCCAUAGUCUUGGAAACCUUUUGUGGGCAGAGGUUUUGCUACCAUUGGUACACAUAGAAACAGUGUGGUUUUUUUUCGUGAUGAAAAAACAGACUCUGGAUUUCCAGGAAAGGAAUGGUACUGCUGCUUCCAGCUUUUACACUAUAACUUUCAGUAGAUUCAAGCCUUUUAGUUUGGGGUCACACCUCCUGGAUUAUUAAGAGGUGAGUUUAGAGUAAGUUGAGUUAGCCUUACCAUACCCAUUCUUCUCUACCUGGAAGUUGCAGCCCAGUAUUUUGGUGGCAGCUCUGUGAGAAAACCUGCCCACAGCCCUGAAUGAUUGUUUGCCAGCUGUCUUUUCUGCUGGCAUUAGUGUGCAGCCCUGUCCAAAAGCUGUUCCUGGAAAUGCAUUUACUGAGUACCCUUGUUGCAAAGGAAUAUAACAGCAUAACAAGUUAUAGCUAUAUUUUUCUUCAGUCAUCUUUGUCAGGCAGAAGAUUGGACUCUGUUUGCUGUCAGACUGUUACAAACUGGUAUACAUUACUAAUCUAAGUGUACUGAUAUGAGAACAUGUAUUAGACACUACAUCAUGCCAAAGGAAAGCUUUCUACAAUGCUAGAAUUCUGUGUGCUUUUGGCUUUUGUGUCCAGUUUCUGUCCUCUUCAUCACCAGAAGUGAGACACAUCACCCCUGAUGAAGUCUGUCUGGGCUCUCUGAGCAGUUAUCAUACUUCCUUGACUGCUGAAAGUGAGAAAUACUUCAGCCAAAAUUUGAAUAUAUUUUUGGAAUUAAAAUUCACAAUGUAGGUAAAAGAGACUCUGAAAUCCAGGAUAUUAAGCAGCAAGGCUUAACCUGGAGAGUUUGCAGAGUUUAAAGCUGGAGAGUUGUUCAGAGUCUUUAAGCUCUCCCUUAUUUAUUUGUAACAGUGAAAACUGAGGAAAACAAUAAGUUGGGUUUUUAAAAAAAAAUAUUUACAGGAAAGCAAAGUAGAGCAGCAACUGCCUAAGUGACUAUUUUACUAAUAAUAGCAGUUAUAUAAAUAUUAGAAUAUAACUCAGAAGUCACAUAUUCCUUGUGUACAAGUGUGAUGUUCUGUUCUGUAAGAAACUCUCUGUGUGUUUACACUCCUGUUCUCCAGACCCCUGCAUUAUAUAGAAGAUUUUCAAAAUAACUAGUUCCUUUUCAAAACUUGCAUAGACACAUAGGUCAAGCCCUCAUGUCUAGCUGAAGAGAUAUACACUGGAAUAAAACUCCCAUGUAUGAACUUCCAA